rnacentral:lncRNA from 1 species
AUGCUGAUUGCUGAGGGAACCGUUGUCCCAGUUGAGUUACUUACAAUGGCGCAGUUCAAGUUCGGGAUGUUUUAUUUGAAGGACAACACAAUUCACGUCGAAAGUACUGAGAUUGUGGCACCUCAGUACAGACAGAAGCUCGUUCAGAUAUUAAAACGGCCGGACCUCUACAGUGAAGACGGAUGGAUACAAGUGUGCUGGGGAACCAGGAAAGCAUCUACAAACAAUGUGGCCGCAAAACUGCUCUUACUCGGAGACAACUACAAGGAGUUGAUGGGGAAAAAAGAAGCCUUCCUCAAGGAUGAGGACAUCUGGCACAUGGCAGUUGCAAGAAGGACCACACCUUGUACCACAACACAUGAUGGAAGCAAACCAAAGAAAAAAAGAAUUACGGCAACUUCCAGUCUCACUUCAGAUGAUGAUGAAACACAGAUUGACCCAUCACGAGUUCUUCAAACAAAUAAGCCGAAGAUGACAAAGGCUGCAAGAGACCGAGCCCUUUCCCAACUGAAAUCCUCGCUGCUGAGAAGAAAGCAAACAACCUCCACCCCCUUGACAAAUGAAGACGAUACAGACAUAGACACCAAUGUGGACUUAUUUGACCCACCUCAGGCUUCGGGAUCAACUGACCUCUCCCAAGGGGAAAGUGAAGAGGAGAGUGUCCUGAUGGAUCAGCCCAGAUCCAGUGUUGGCAUGCAACAGGAAGUGAUGGAUGCUCUGAAAGAAAUACCAGCCUUAGUCAAGUGUGUCAAAGAUGUUAUUGCAACCAUGAAGAGAAUUCAACAUGUCAUGGACACUGACAGUACAUGUUCUGGUUCUUCCAGUCCAGCUCCAGAAAUGAUUUCCCUUGGCAACAAGGGGGUGCAGGUCAGCAAAACCUGUUUCAGAAGACUCAACCGAACAAGAAUGUCCCUGUUCACACAGGACUUAGCUGUGCUCCUCUUUGGGCGGGAUGUUUUGGCAUCCUCGACUCUCACAGGAAAACCAGGGCUUACUGGAACAGCGAAAGAGCAGCUAAAUCCGGAAAAGCUGAGUGCCCUUGUUGAUACAGUUAUUGCUGAAUUUCCAGGAACAAAUGUGUCUGAUGUGAGGGCAGUGAUUCGGAGAAAAUGUAACAAUGAGAAUUUUGUGAGCAAAAAGAAACAGUAAGCAGUAAAUCAGUAACUGUUUGUAAUAAUUUCUUGUUUGUUUUUUCUUUGGUGGACAUACAUUUUGAGUUUAAACAAACUGUGAAUGUUUCACAUGUAAAAGUUUCAACAGUCAGUUUAAUGUUUAAUGUUUUUUAAUGUUUUCAAAAGUCAGUUUCAGUUUAAUGUUCAUCCCUGUCAUUACUAGCAAUGGUACGAUGAAGAGAAACAGUUUGAUUCUGUAUUUUGUACCCUGUCAUGCCGUGCAUGUUAAAAAUAAACUUUAUUUCUACCUGAAGUAUGUUCUAAAUAUCUUUUAUGUUUACUUAAAAGUAAUUUGAAAUUCAA